AUAAACAAAUAAAUCAAUGGAGACAAAGUGCAUUUAUAAAAUAGCAUACUAAGAUUCUUUCAAAGAAAAGCACAAAAAAAGAUAUGAAUGUUUAAGAAAAAAGGAGUGUUGCACAGUUUUUGUUGCAGGCAUUGAAUCAACUUCUUCCCCGAGCUGCUGUUUCUGAGAGGAAACUCUGACCACAUGACACAUUCCACAGAAAGGGCUGACACCUUCAGCAGGGCUGACACCUUCAGUCUGAGUAAAAAGGAAGGUCAUUACAUGCAGUUCGUGGAGAUGAUUUACUCUGUUCAGUAGAAUGGGGGAAACCAAAAGACCAUGUCUGACCUGGAUUUUAAAGGGUUUAAUGACGGCUGUCCUUGGAAUGCUUGCAGCUGGGAAGACCAUGUCAUGCUCAGCAGAGAAGCUCAAUAUGCUCACACGACUAAGAGGGGACAAAGUCAACAUCCACUGUCCUCUCCCUUUCGAUCAAAUUGAAGCUGUUUCUGUAACUUUGAUGAGGUCAAAACACACAAAAGUUUGCACCAAAAAUUAUAUUAAUAAUCAAUGGUGGGGAAAUUUUCCCCGUUGCAGUAUAUUGUGGAAUAAUGAGACAAAAGCAAUAUAUGCAAGUAUACCAGAGCUCCAGAUAAAUGACUCUGAUAUAUACACCUGUGAAGUGUUGAAAAUGUAUCUGCCCGACCGAAAUAAAACACAAAACAGUACCACAUCUG